rnacentral:rRNA from 1 species
UACUAUGUUACGACUUAUACUCAUCUUAAUUAACGAGAGUGACGGGCGAUGUGUGCACAUUUUAGAGCCUAUAUCAACCUGAAAAUCUUCACAAAUUUACAGAUUAAAUCCACCUUCAUUCCAAUUUUAAUAUAAAAAUUCGUUUAUCUAAUAAUAUUGUAAUCCAUCUCCACUUAAUUAUAAGCUGCACCUUGACCUGAAAUUUUUACUAAUAAAAAAUUAAGAAAUUUACCCUAUAAAGAUUUUCAACAACGGCGGUAUACAUACCUAAAUUAAGUAAGGUUCAACGCGGACUAUCGAUUAAGGGACAGAUUCCUCUAAACAGACUAAAAUACCGCAAAUUCUUUAAGUUUCAAGACCACAGCUAGUACUACUCUAAUUCUACAAUUUUACAUUUAAAAUAAUAGGGUAUCUAAUCCUAGUUU